rnacentral:tRNA from 1 species
AGGUAGGGUGGCCGAGCAGGUGGCGGGCUGUAAACCCGCCAACGGGGUACGCUAAGCCCCCCCUCCCAA